rnacentral:rRNA from 1 species
GUGAGGAAUAUUGGACAAUGGGCGCAAGCCUGAUCCAGCCAUGCCGCGUGCAGGAAGACGCAUCUAUGGUGUGUAAACUGCUUUUGUACGGGAAGAAACACUCCCUCGUGAGGGAGCUUGACGGUACCGUAAGAAUAAGGAUCGGCUAACUCCGUGCCAGCAGCCGCGGUAAUACGGAGGAUCCAAGCGUUAUCCGGAAUCAUUGGGUUUAAAGGGUCCGUCGGCGGUUUAAUAAGUCAGUGGUGAAAGCCCAUCGCUCAACGAUGGAACGGCCAUUGAUACUGUUAGACUUGAAUUACAAGGAAGUAACUAGAAUAUGUAGUGUAGCGGUGAAAUGCUUAGAUAUUACAUGGAAUACCAAUUGCGAAGGCAGGUUACUACUUGUGGAUUGACGCUGAUGGACGAAAGCGUGGGGAGCGAACAGGAUUAGAAACCCGGGUAGUCC